rnacentral:rRNA from 1 species
GACGAACGCUGGCGGUGUGCUUAACACAUGCAAGUCGAACGGGAAGGCCCUGCUUUUGUGGGGUGCUCGAGUGGCGAACGGGUGAGUAACACGUGAGUAACCUGCCCUUGACUUUGGGAUAACUUCAGGAAACUGGGGCUAAUACCGGAUAGGAGCUCCUGCUGCAUGGUGGGGGUUGGAAAGUUUCGGCGGUUGGGGAUGGACUCGCGGCUUAUCAGCUUGUUGGUGGGGUAGUGGCUUACCAAGGCUUUGACGGGUAGCCGGCCUGAGAGGGUGACCGGCCACAUUGGGACUGAGAUACGGCCCAGACUCCUACGGGAGGCAGCAGUGGGGAAUAUUGCACAAUGGGCGGAAGCCUGAUGCAGCAACGCCGCGUGCGGGAUGACGGCCUUCGGGUUGUAAACCGCUUUCGCCUGUGACGAAGCGUGAGUGACGGUAAUGGGUAAAGAAGCACCGGCUAACUACGUG